rnacentral:lncRNA from 1 species
AUGUACUGCUUGUGUUUAAGUACUUUUUCCUGUUUCAGACUUUGCUUCAGUGAACUGAAUCCUGUUGUUUUAAACUAUAUGACAGAAAUGAUGGAAUUCAGUCUUUCGGAAGUUACCAAAAUUCUACUAAAUAACAGACCUUCUUCUGCCAUGGCUUCUUACUGCUUAUUGCUGAAGAAACUGCUCAGGUGCCAGAAAGCACACAAAAGAAUCCAGAAGGAGCUGCGUUGUCAAGGCUGUGGACCAGUUUUCUUGAAACUCUGGAUAUCAAGCUGAUUUACAGCCCUCCAAGAUGGAACCUUCUGGGUAAGUGGCAGCAUUUCAAAUCCUCUGCCACUUCUUCCAGUAGGGCAGGGGAGCAAGCAAGUGCACAAAGUAAGGCACAAACCAAGAAGCUGUCUGUGCUGCUUCAUGCCAUCCGGAACCAAAGGGUCAUCCCAAGGCAGAUGGCCAAGUGGAAUUCAAACACAGGCUGAAAAGUAGUUCUGGCUGCUGGCUAAUAGUGGUAUGGAUAAUUGUUUUGAACUCUCAGUAUAUAUAUGUUGCCCAAGCAGGCUGAAGAUUUUGGUAGAGCAAGAAGGAGAAGAGGACAAACUAAGAAAGUCAUGACUACUUUUUUUUUUUUUUCCUGUGAUGAAUAAUUGUGUCAGAUUGGACUCUAACAUAAACAAUGCUUUGUAAUAUCCGUUACUAAGAGAAUAAUGGAAAUCUUUCCUUGUCAUUAAAGGCUUGUUUCCUAUUGUUUAUAAUCACAGAGUUUGUAAAUGAUAUCAUUAAACUAAAAAACUCACAACCUGCUACCAUUUAGAGCACCAUUUGCAGUACUAUUUAGAGAUUAUUGUUACCUAAGAGUUUUCAUAAAACUCGUGUAUGUCUUUUCCCCAAAUAUUCACUCUACAUUGUUUGUUACUUAAUUGUAUCUCUCUAAUCCCACUUACGUUCUUUUGUAUUAUGAAAAUGAGUAUUUCUCCUUUGUUGGCAGUUAGGCUCUGCAAACACUUGUAGUUAACAAUGAUCACCUCUCAGAAGCUUUUCAUUCAAGCCUUAGUCACUCUUCCCAAAGAGCUCUUUCAAACAAUGAAGACCAGUGCUGUUGUUUCCUUGCCAGUUUCUCCAAUAGUAUUCCUACUGCCUAGAAAGGCUGAGGUUCAGGCAACAAAAAGGGUGGGAUUGGGGAAGGCUAGCUAAGAUAUCAAGCGGAGCUUUCUUGCUGGAUGCUUUUAUUUUUCCAGUAUUCUCUGGCCUGUUCUUCAGCAAAAGUUCUUUCACACAUAUAUUGACACAAAGAGAAAACUUAGCCCAAAGCAUAAAUGGAGUAAAUAGGAAAAAGAAAGAAAGGCUCUGGUGGGGCAACAGCCCUGGGGAGGAUUCUACACUUUGGUCCAAAAGAGGCCAAGCACAUGCUUCCUGGCAAGCUGCAUUGCCUGGCUGUGGCUGCAAAACAGGAGUGUGAGGAUGUCAACAGAGGGUGAGAGGGGAAGCCUGCCACUUUUUCUUCACCUUCUAGUUCAGCCCCUGUUAAUGGUACUGGAGCUUAAUUACAACAGCAUGGGUAUUUGAUACUUGUACUGCAAAUUAUGCCAAGGAUAUUUCAAAAUGCAUAGAUAGAUGUUCUUUCUGUUCUCCAUAAUGCCAACUAUUUGCUAUUUAUUACUAGCAGUGUGUGAGCCGUCAAUAAACCACACAACAUUUUUUCAGCUUUCCAGAACUUGCAAAUGUAUGCAUCUGCUUUAACUUUAUGGAGCUCAGCAAGAACCCAUGGGCAUAAAAUUAAUGCAUAAACAUUCACUUUUGCAUCUAAAUAAGUGCCAGUUUAAAUCUGAGUGAAGCAAAUAAUAACAACUAACAAAGUCAAAGGUAAAACCAAAUGGCAGAAAAUAAUCCACCAUUCACUGAAAUGAUUUCUGUUUAGGACCGUAAAGGAUAUUGUACAUUCUUGUCUGCCUAUGAAAAGAGAUGUUAGUGGAGACCUAACAUUUGUAAAGGAAUACAAGCAAGCUAAAAGCCUCCUUCUCCUCAGCGAAUUGUUGAGAAAGUUGGCAUCCAGCUCCUUCAAAAGUUCUGCCCAUAAAGAACCAAACAUAUCAAAUAUCAACACAAACAGAAAAGUAUUUGUGUUCAUGACAGUGCUCAUGAAUAACACACAAUAAAAGCUCAACCAGUACAAUCAGAGCAAAACAUGUUUAGUAUUCAAACACAUAUUCAUAAACCACCAUGCUCAACACAUUCCAGGCAGCAGACUGGGCUGUGAUUUUUAGCACAAUACCAAAGAAACGUACAAUUUCCUGGGACAAAUCUUUAGCAACACUUCUACCACUGGAAAAAAAAGCCCAUGGAAAUUAUUUUUCAUGUACAAAAAAACCUGUGUUUGGGAAAACAGUGUGAGUCAUUGUGUUUGCAGCUCCUCCUUGUAUACACAAGCUAACAUUUGUAUAUACAAAUAAUAGUUUUGUUGGAUGCAAACAGAUGGGAUUCUCAUUUUCCUGGGUGCAAUUAGAGAAGUCUGCUGAAAGCUCGACCCUGAAAAAAGCAUAAGAUCCUUUCCAUGUUCAAAUUUGAGCCAUAAGUCAUUGGAUAAACUUAAAACACAGCCUGUCCUUUUAUGCGUCGUAAUUUCUCCAAGCAAUGUAUUUACAUUUUAUGUGUUCUGUUGUAGAAGUGGGAGCCUUAAUGAUUACAAUUUGCCAUCCAGAAUUUUAUAGCUAGUCCUUGCAGAAAAUAGCAUUUUUGCCAAAAAGCUUCCUGCCCAGGUGCUUAACCAAUUAGCUCUUAAGAGGUCUGGCAGUAAAAGCAGUCAUGGCAAGUUUUCUGAUAUACUGUAUAUAAGGUGACAGCUUGCAAAAUGUAAGAUGAAAAUUUGUUUUCUUAACUAGCAGUGUGUAAAAUCCUGGGGGACUAUUUGAUUGCAGAGCCUAAAAUGCUUAUGACAUCUCCAAUUCCCAGCUGAUCUAAUGCGGUUUUAGCAAUAUGUUGUCAAUUUUACCAUAUUGUGUUUCUUCUUAUUAAUACUUAAAAAAUAAUUUCCUUGAUUGUGAUUGGGUGCUGCAAAUAUGUAAGAAGGAUGGAGUAACCCCACAAGCAUGAGGUUUGAGGCCCUUUAGAUUUUUCCAAAUAUUUUUCUAUCUCACAAAAUACAGGCAAACUUUCGAAACUAUCUCUUCUCCAAAAUUAGUCCCACUUUUCUUCUGAUGGCUUGUUGUAUUAAAAACAUAUCAUUCACAAGGGGAAUAUUUUUCUAUGAAAAGA